UCAUUUUGUAAUGUGGUAUAAAUCAGUUAACAAGUCUUACAAUAAAUAUUUAAUGAAGAUAAUGUAAUUGAAGAAGACAUUUUAUAAGAACUUACAAAAAUGUGCGCAAUUUUUUAAUAAAAAGAAAGGCACACAAGGGCCUUCAAAAUGUUUGUUAAUAGAGGAGGUUAAGUCUUCAAUAAAAAAUACUACAAAGGUUUUGUUAAGUGUUUCCGAAGAAAUUAAAACUACUUCCGAAGAGACAAAAUACGCUACGGAAGCUACCAAAACCAGUUCAGAAGUGAUUCAAAAUUGUAUUGACCAAUUCAAAAAAGAUUUGGAGGGAUACAUUUGUUCCUAUAAAAAUGAUGCAAUGAUCGAAUCGGAUUCAUGCAUGACAUCUACAUUUGUUAUAGGCGACCAGAUUAGUGUUGAUAAUUCAACUGAUCCUUUUACUGGUAUAGCAUCUGAACCCGUAAUAGAGGAAACUCACAUAAUUGGAAAAAAUGAGGUUGCUAUGUCUUGUCCGUUAGAAGGUCAUAUUUUGGAUUAUCCAAAUGAUAAUAAGAAAGGACGAUUGUCCAAUUCACUAAAUGGACUACGUUAUGAACUCAAUUUAGUGAAAUAUCGUUGAUGCAUUAUUCCAGAACAGCACGUUUUUCGCUAUCCUCAUCAACUCUACCUCACGCAAUAGAUGUUAAAAUUAUGGGAUAUUACGAAAAAGUUUACAUGGAAAGCAAUCGACUAGUUGGUUACAUAAUUUGGACUUCUGGUGAUAAUCAAUAUGGUUUGAUAGGAUCAUAUUUCAAUGGAUGUCGAUACAAUUUUUUAUAUGUAAAGAUCUAAUUUCUAUGUUUUCGAUUUUAAAAAGAAAGACAAUUGUGACAUUUCGUCUCAAUGUUUCCUGUGAUUCUCCGAAGGCAAUCAAAAUCAAAAUACAAGAUAAGUUGAAAAAUUUUACUAUAAUACCUGGUCUAGUAAAUGGAUACACUAGAUGGUACAAUCAUACAGCUAAGCAUUGAUUAAAAUUAAUUAAAUUAUUUUGCAAGAGAUAACCUGAAAAAUGUUAUAUUAAUUGAAUUAACUAAAAUUGUAAGAG